AUACGGAGGGUGCGAGCGUUAAUCGGAAUUACUGGGCGUAAAGCGCGCGUAGGCGGUUUGUUAAGUCGGAUGUGAAAUCCCCGGGCUCAACCUGGGACCUGCAUCCGAUACUGGCAGGCUAGAGUCUGGUAGAGGGGGGUAGAAUUCCUGGUGUAGCGGUGAAAUGCGUAGAUAUCAGGAGGAAUACCAGUGGCGAAGGCGGCCCCCUGGACUGAGACUGACGCUGAGGUGCGAAAGCGUGGGGGGCAAACAGGAUUAGAAACCCUAGUAGUCC
rnacentral:rRNA from 1 species